GUUUCUGACAAUUCUUCUGUGCCUAAUCCUGUUGUGGAAUGCCAGAUUUGUGGAAAGAAAGGUCACACAGCCUUGAACUGCUACCAUAGGGCUAACUUUUCCUAUCAAGGCACCGCACCUCCUGCUCAGCUCCAUGCAAUGACAGCUCAAACCUCUCCUUCAUUUUCUGCUGAUGAGUUUUGGAUCGCCGACAGUGGUGCAUCUCAUCAUAUGACCAAUAAUGUGACUCAGUUGGCUCAAGUUGCUCCUUAUACCGCUGAUGAGAAAAUAACUGUUGGGAAUGGCGAAGGUCUGUGCAUUGCUCAUGUUGGCAAUGCCUCCAUUCCUAGUAUUUCUGGUUCUCUUCGCCUUAAUCAAGUUUAUCACGUGCCUCAGUUGGCUGCCAGCUUGUUAUCCAUUUUCCAGUUGUGUAAGGAUAAUAAAUGCUGGGUGAUUUUUGAUGACUCAUAUAUCUAUGCGCAGGACAAAGCAACGAAGGUUCUGCUGUACAAGGGUCGCAGUAACAAGGGUAUGUAUCCAAUUCCUCAAGCUCUGGGUGAUUUGUCAGUAAGGUCCAAUCCCAAGUCUUCACCAAUUAUAGUUGAGGGGAUUGCCUCUACUCCAACAGCUUUACUUGGGAAACCAGUAUCUUCAGUUCUUUGGCAUCAAAGAUUUGGUCAUGUGUCCAACGAAGUUCUUACUCAGAUGUUGAAACAGUCUCAAAUUUCUAGUGUUUCAGAUUCCUCUCAGAGUCUAUGUAGUUUUUGUUUGAGUGGUAAAAUGCACCGCCUUCCUUUUGCUAGUUCACAGUCUCAUUCUUCAUUACCUUUUCAGCGAUUACACUCUGAUGUAUGGGGUCCUUCCUCCUCUGUAGCAUUUGGUGG
rnacentral:lncRNA from 1 species